CAGCAGAGCCACGGGAGGGCCACCCAGCCAGUGGGACAGGGGCUCUGGGUGGACAGCCCCAAGCGCUGGUCACUGGCAGAGGCUGCCCCUACCCUGGCCUCUGCACUGUUUACUAAGUUCCCUUUUACACUUUUACAGUCUGAAUGAGCUUUGCUCUCUUAGCAGCUGCAGACCUGGGAUUUCCCUGCAGUGCAGGGCAAAGCCCACAGCCCAGGGCUCCAACUCAGAGUCUCUACGUCUCCAUCUGCACCAUCUGGGGGGUGAGUGCCCUUGGCCAAGCCCCCUUCCUGGACUGUCAAAUGGAGAACUAAGCAGAAGGGAGUUGGCAGCAUCCUCACAGAUGAAGAAACCAAGGCCCAGAGGAGUGAAAUAGAAGACCCAGGGGGAAAAAAAGGACAAGAUUAAGAACCCCACAUAGUCCCUGUGAGGCUAUAGGUUUGAUCCCUGGCCUCACUCAGUGGGUUAAGGAUCCAGUGUUGCCAAAUCUGUGGCAUGGAUCAUAGAUGUGGCUCUGAUCUGGUGUUGCUGUUGCUGUGGCUGUGGUAUAGUUUGACCCCUAGCCCCAGGAACUUCCAUAUGCUGCAGAUGUGGCCGUAAAAAGAAGAAAGAAAACAAAAGAAGAUCCAGGACCUGGGUGGUUUGAUAAGGAGACAUGAGCACCAAGCCUGCAGUCAGAAGUGCCAGACACCAUUUGGGGAGACAAUGACCCAGGCUGAACACAGCCACAAAGGUGCGCAUGGACGCUCUCUCCUAGCAGUGGGCUUCGAAGCAGCCAAGGCCCAUCAUCAAGCCAAGGAAACCUAGCUGCUUGGGCGCAGAUACUCUCCCUGACCAGGAUGGAUCCCAGGAAACCCUGGCACAUGGGGCUCUCUUUCAAGGAGACCAACACUGGGGGCUCAGGCAGCAGGUACACCUCACCUGUCUCUUCCUGCCGUUGCUGCCUCUUUGGCUGAGAGGAUUGUAAAUCCCCCAGUGGACAAGCAAAGGCAGACCUGAGGGGGCCCAAUUCACAGCUUUCUUCCAGUAGAACUUCCUACUGGAAGCCUGAAAUCAGCAACUUCUGUGGCUUCUGGGGGCCACAUUUAAUAAGAACUGCAGUUGGUUGAGUCCCUACUAUGUAAAGACACCUUAAAUUUGUUAUUUACUUAGCCAAUAUUCACUGAGUAUCUUUGAAGUGCCAGGCCCUGUCUGGGUACCAGGGAGACAUGACCCCUGCCUUCAUGGAGCCCACUGAAAAUGGGGGAGGCCAAUCCCAAACAGAGACUCACGCAAGAACCAGUGACCAGGGAGGGCUUCCUGGAGGAGGUGACACUGGGCCCAGACUUUCCGAAGGAUGAAUAGGAGCUAGCCAGGCAAAGAGGGGAGAAACACUUCAGGCAGAGAGAACCUGAGGAAGAAAGGAACAGACACAGUGGUGUCUAUAAUUUCCACAACAGCCUGAUGAGAUGGGAAUGGGAGUCCCAUUUUAUAAUUGAGGAAACAAACUCUGAGAGGCUGAGUCACCACAGACCCCACAUAUGCAGCUGGGGUGCAUGACCCUGACCCUACACCACAGUUCAUGCCUUUCCCAUCCGCAAAGCCCUGCACCUGAGCCCUGAAGCUAAGAAGCAAAGGCAUGGAGGGAGAGGCCAGGUCUCUUCAUGCCUGCAGUCUACAUGCAUGGAAGUGAGUGAGGGCUCUCUGUUCGGGGGGUGGGGGGUGCUGUUGCUGUCACAGGGACCCAUGUCUCCCCAGAUGGCUUUGGAGCUGCUCAUAACGUCCAGCAAAGGCUCAUCCUGAGCUGCAUGUGGGCCCCAUCACUGCCCGUAUAGCAUGCUAAAAGCAUGGUGGCCUCGGCUUCUCAGGGACACUAUGAGGCCCACUGAUCCUAUGAGGACAUCAGCAGGGAGGGCCCAGGGCAUGUGGAAAGUGAGGCCUUCUCCAGGCAAGGCUUCCUGGAGGAGGUGGCCCUGGAGUUGAGUCUUAAGAAUUGAGAGGAUUUCUGGCAUUCCUGUUGUGGAUCGAUGGGUCAUGAACCCUAGUAUCCACGAGGAUGCGGGUUAAUCCCCGGCCUUGCUCAGUGGGUUAAGGAUCCAGCAUUGCCAUGAGCUGUGGUGUAGGCUGCAGACGUGGCUCAGAUCUGGCAUUACUGUGGCUGUGGUGUAGGCGAUUUGACCCUUAGCCUGGGAACUUCCAUAUGCUACAGGUGCGCCCCCCGCCCCCCACCCCCCAACACAUACAAAAAAAAAGAACUGAGAGGACUUCGAAGCAGCAAAAUGGAGUAGAGAAGGGAACACUAAGCCUGGAAAAUGGAAGCAAAGGCCCAGCAUGCAGCAUCGUGGGAAUGGUGAGCGGUGCCCAGGGUCUGGGGUGUCCAGCACUCUCAGGGACCACCAGGGCCCCAGCUCCAGAACCGCCCCAAACCCCUCCUGUCCCAGGCCCAGAACUCAGCAGAGCCUGGAGGGUAGUAAGACGCAGACUUCCCUUCGGCCUGCUAGUAACUCCACUAUGUUUGGGGAAGGACACUGGGCUCUGGCUCCGGCUGUGGGUCUCUCAGCCUUGGUCCCUGCCUUCAUGAAGCUAUGGUGUCACAGAGGCAGCGGGUAUGAGCAAGCAUGAGAGCAUGACAAACUUACAAAAGGAGAGGCGCCAUCAGUAAGUCUUCCUUUUGUUCGAGGGCUGGGCACCAGCCAUAGAAAGGUGAAGAUUCUGCAGACGGGGCUUAGAGUCUACAGAGUUGCGCCCACACCCUGCUGUAUCCCUCAUCCCAGAGCCGGGGAACUGGGCCAGGAGAAGGCAGAGGGCAAGCAAAGUGCAGAGGGAGCAGGCAGGCCCUUGCCAUACACUUUUCCGACUUCCAGCCCUGGACAGCCAGAGCCCUAGGAGCCAGACCCAGCCAGGAACAUCCAGAUCUUCCCCAGAUCCCGGAUGAGAGCCUUAACAGACAUCAGCACCCCUGUGCAUCCUCCUAAUGACCACAGCUCUGUCAGAUAUAUUGAUGUUCCCGGAACCAAGAUAUCUACAUUUAAUUUCCAUAAAAGCUUCUUUUGCUUACAAAGGGACCCUCCCAAAUGCCCUGGGUCACCUCUACUUGAACCCAGAGAGGAGGGGGUUCCUAGCCCUUUCGGGAGGAUGACACUUCAGCCUGGGUGGGCAGGAGGCUGGGUCUCUGCUCAGCUCGGACUCUGCCCUCCCCUGUCCCUCUCAGGAAGGCCACAGGAGCCCUGUGCCAGCCCUUGGGGAUCCCAGCCAGGACCCACCCCCCCCUUCAUUCCUGGAACCCAGCUUUACCCAGGUUCUCACUUCCGCCCCAUUGCCUCACACCCUGUGCUCCCUUCUCUAGAUGGACCCUCAGGUGGGGGUCUAAGCUGAUAUUUGACUGAAUGCAGCCCGGCCACUUUUCAUUAGCUAACCAACCGGACCAGUCCCCACCUCUGUGCCCAGCUCCAAUGCCUAAAAUCCCACCUUAAGUUCAUGUCCCAGACUUCCACUUAUUCAAGAGGCCACCUGAGAUCCACAUGAUAUGAGGUUUGUUUCUAAAACAGGAAGGAUCAAUAAAUA
ensembl:lncRNA